AUACGUAGGUGGCAAGCGUUAUCCGGAAUUACUGGGCGUAAAGCGCACGCAGGCGGCCAGUCAAGUCUGACGUGAAAGCUCCUGGCUUAACUGGGAGAGGUCGUUGGAAACUGAUUGGCUUGAGGCAAUGAGAGGGACACGGAAUUCCCGGUGUAGUGGUGGAAUGCGUAGAUAUCGGGAGGAACACCAGUGGCGAAAGCGGUGUCCUGGCAUUGACCUGACGCUCAUGUGCGAAAGCGUGGGGAGCGAACGGGAUUAGAAACCCGGGUAGUCC
rnacentral:rRNA from 1 species